rnacentral:rRNA from 1 species
AGAAUCAACGCUGGCGGCGUGCCUAACACAUGCAAGUCGCACGAGAAAGUGGAGCAAUCCAUGAGUACAGUGGCGCACGGGUGAGUAACACGUGACUAACCUACCCUGGAGUGGGGAAUAACUGAGGGAAACCUUAGCUAGUACCGCAUAAUACCUACGGGUCAAAGGAGCAAUUCGCUUCAGGAGGGGGUCGCGGCCGAUUAGCUAGUUGGCGGGGUAAUGGCCCACCAAGGCAAUGAUCGGUA